UGGUGUCUUCUCCUCGUUUCUAAUCAACGUUCCCGCGUUCGUCGUCGAUCUUCUCAGCAAAAAUACGAGGUGUGAGUAUUAAUUAGCGGCUUAACGUGGUUAAUUAUCGCAUCAAUCUGAUCGCGUAGCGUGUCCAAAUAUCGUGAUCGCGAUCCCCCGCGUGGAAUUGAGCUUGUCAGUCGCGAAUCUUGCUCGACUUUGCUUCGUCCCUCGCAUUUCUUGUCGUGACGUCACAGCUCCGUGCUCGAAGACCUCGAAUUUCGCGAACGAAAAGAAGAAACGAGUACAAGUGUUUCGAAGCUUCUUCUAUGAGGAGUCCUCGACGCAGAGGUUCGUUUCCUACAGGAAAUGUGGGAUCGGCGAGGAAUCCGGAGUACGCCGAGAUUGGAGAAGAAGAGUAGUCAAAAUGAUAUCCAGAAAUGAGAAGUGCAUCCCAGGAGUAAAUGCAGCUGUAUAAAUCAUCGAGGAAGAUAUUAAUAAUGAAGAAAAAAAGAUAAGAAAACAUUCUCCACAAAAAAAGGUUUGCAAUCGGUGCGGCGUUGGAAGAGCGACAGAGGCGAAUGAGAAUUACGGCGUAGAAUUCGCAAUUUACAACGGCGUGAAACGAUUACGAGGAAUGAGGAGGAACGUUGGAUGGCGCGUAUGGAUCGGGCUUUAGAAGCGCUGCGGAUCUCUUUGUGCUACGCUAAAACGAGGACCGUCUUCUUCCUUCUCCUCUUGGACGGCCUCUGAUACCCUCUCCGACCACCCUCUCAUCGCCGCCGUGCUCUGUCUUCUUCCCCUGUUUCCCCUGUGCCCAUCCUGUCCUUACGACGAGUCAUCUCGUUUAGGUCGCGCUGGCAGCAGCGGUGGCGGUGAGGAGGGCCGUGAAAAGGAAGACCGAGUGAUGUUGCGGGGGAGAAUACGGCAGGAGUGAAAGAGAGAGAGAGGAAAGGGCUGGUGAACCAAGGAAGGAACGAGUAGAGCCGAGAAGAGGCGACAGGGUCGAGGGAGAGUAGCUGCGGGACAGAAGGAUAUAUGGCUGUAUAUUAUGUACUUGGACCCGCGCGUUAUAUACGCCUUCGUCAUCUUCCACAUAGAAAGAGAGAGAGAAGGAGAACAGGUGUACGUAUACACCGACGCGUGACUAUGGAUGUGUAUGUGUACAUAUGUGCGUGCGAGAAAUCUCUCUGUCGAGGUAUCUUUCUUUCUCGUUCUCUAAGUGUGUGUGUGUGUGUGUAUGCGCGAAGGUUCACUUCGCACGCAAGCGAAGCUCUACUCUCUAACCAGCUCGAAUCGAAGAUACGGACCUGGAAUCACGCGAGCGCGUAAAAAUGAUCUCUGGUCGCGUAUAACGUGGGAGAAGGAGGAUCCGAGUUUGCGGCAAGAAUUCGCCGAUACAAACGAAUAAACGAAGAGGAAAUUCUGGGCGCAACAUAUUUGAUCGAUGAUGAAUAUCCUUGAAGAAACGUUAUGUAGUGUUACAUAAUAUCGUUAGGGAGACACUGACGAUUACGUGCAUAAUUGAAGUAUUGAGGAUGAUAUCGGUCUGAAUCAUAAAAAAUUCUUGAAAGAGGGCAAGGAAAUUUGAAAAACCUUAGGAUCAAUAAAAUCAUAGGAGUCUUUAAAUUUCACGCAUGAUAACAUACAUUAAUUUUGUUUAGUAUAAUUCUGAAUAUGAAAUUAUUUAUGUGCACACUCUUGAUUAACUACUUUGAUGUACAAACAUAAUAGUAAGGACAGCUUAUAAUUGCGAUUAUAUUUUUGAGCAAUUGUAUUAUUAUUUAUUUUUUAAAUGUAACGGAUCAUGUUUACGGUGAUGAUGCAAAUAGUAUACCACAGUUGCAUACUGCAUAUAAUAAGGGACGGUAAUUGCGCUAUAAAUAUGUACGAAAUACAUAUAUACUCAAUGUAGAAUGUAACAGCUAAGAAUUAUUUUCUGUUUUACAAUCCCGCGGUACAAUCUAAAAUUAUUCCAGAACAGGAAACAGUGUGUGGUUUAUCUUGAUAAGGUCAUAUCACUGACUCUCGUCUUUUCCUGCUAUUUCAUAAAAUAUUAUGAAUAUAUUAA